rnacentral:rRNA from 1 species
GUCCUUAACUGACGCUAAAGCUCGAAAGUGCGGGUAUCGAACAGGAUUAGAUACCCUGGUAGUCCGCACGGUAAACGAUGGAUGCCCGCUGUUGGCGAUAUAUUGUCAGCGGCCAAGCGAAAGCGUUAAGCAUCCCACCUGGGGAGUACGCCGGCAACGGUGAAACUCAAAGGAAUUGACGGGGGCCCGCACAAGCGGAGGAACAUGUGGUUUAAUUCGAUGAUACGCGAGGAACCUUACCCGGGCUUGAACUGCCAGCGAACGAUUCAGAGAUGAUGAGGCCCUUCGGGGCGCUGGUGGAGGUGCUGCAUGGUUGUCGUCAGCUCGUGCCGUGAGGUGCCGGCUUAAGUGCCAUAACGAGCGCAACCCCUUUCUCCAGUUGCCAUCAGGUAGAGCUGGGCACUCUGGAGACACUGCCACCGUAAGGUGUGAGGAAGGUGGGGAUGACGUCAAAUCAGCACGGCCCUUACGUCCGGGGCUACACACGUGUUACAAUGGGUGGUACAGAGAGUCGGUUGCUGGCAAUAGCGAUCCAAUCCUAAAAGCCAUCCUCAGUUCGGAUUGGGGUCUGCAACCCGACCCCAUGAAGCUGGAUUCGCUA